GGCCCCGCGGCUGUCCGCGCUGUUGCCUGCGCGCAUUCGUCUCCUGUCGAACUGAAGUUUCUGCGCUUGGUCGUGCUUCACUUUCAGACGGCCGGCGGCGUUGUUAUGAAGAUUGACUGCGGCUCGAGCGUCAUGUCCGGUCUCUACUGCGUCCACGUACUGUUUGGAAAUCCUCUCUCCAAAGUCAACGUUAUCACCGCAGCCUCCCCACAGCCAUCCACGACCUCCUACACAUCCGGAUGAAUAAGAUCAGAUCUACAGCCAGCAACAUCUGACCGUCAUUGCGCUAUGCGCUAAUAAAUGCUUUCAGAUGCUGAAAA